rnacentral:rRNA from 1 species
AUUAAACGCUGGCGGCAUGCCUUACACAUGCAAGUCGAACGGCAGCACGGGGGCAACCCUGGUGGCGAGUGGCGAACGGGUGAGUAACGCAUCGGAACGUGCCCUGGAGUGGGGGAUAACGUAGCGAAAGUUACGCUAAUACCGCAUAUUCUGUGAGCAGGAAAGCAGGGGAUCGCAAGACCUUGCGCUCUGGGAGCGGCCGAUGUCGGAUUAGCUAGUUGGUGGGGUAAAGGCCUACCAAGGCGACGAUCCGUAGCGGGUCUGAGAGGAUGAUCCGCACACUGGGACGUGAGACACGGCCC